GAUGAAGAACGUAGCGAAAUGCGAUAAGUAAUGUGAAUUGCAGAAUUCAGUGAAUCAUCGAAUCUUUGAACGCACCUUGCGCUCCCUGGUAUUCCGGGGAGCACGCCUGUUCGAGUGUCGCGAAAUUCUUCAAGCCUUGGAUGGAUUUUUUUUUGUCUGUCCUUGGGCUUGGUUGUUGGGCUCUGCCGUGUCCUUCAUUGGGACGGCUGGCCUUAAAAGCAUUAGCCGAUCCUCGUGUGGUACUGGUUCUACUCAGCGUGAUAACAAUCUGAUCGUUGAGGACAUCUUCUUGAUGGCCAGUCAUCAUUUGGGUUGCUUCUAAACCGGUUUCGCAGAUUGCUCAAUCUGUGUGCCACUUUUCAGCUUUGACCUCGAAUCAGGUGGGACUACCCGCUGAACUUAAGCAUAUCAAUAAGCGGAGGA
rnacentral:misc_RNA from 1 species